rnacentral:rRNA from 1 species
AAAUCCGGUACUCAUUAAGGCUGAGCUGUGAUGGGGAGAAGACAUUGUGUCUUCGAGUCGUUGAUUUCACACUGCCGAGAAAAGCCUCUAGAUAGAAAAUAGGUGCCCGUACCGCAAACCGACACAGGUAGUCAAGAUGAGAAUUCUAAGGUGAGCGAGCGAACUCUCGUUAAGGAACUCGGCAAAAUGACCCCGUAACUUCGGGAGAAGGGGUGCUCUUUAGGGUUAACGCCCAGAAGAGCCGCAGUGAAUAGGCCCAAGCGACUGUUUAUCAAAAACACAGGUCUCUGCUAAACCGUAAGGUGAUGUAUAGGGGCUGACGCCUGCCCGGUGCUGGAAGGUUAAGAGGAGUGGUUAGCUUCUGCGAAGCUACGAAUCGAAGCCCCAGUAAACGGCGGCCGUAACUAUAACGGUCCUAAGGUAGCGAAAUUCCUUGUCGGGUAAGUUCCGACCCGCACGAAAGGCGUAACGAUUUGGGCACUGUCUCAACGAGAGACUCGGUGAAAUCAUAGUACCUGUGAAGAUGCAGGUUACCCGCGACAGGACGGAAAGACCCCGUGGAGCUUUACUGUAGCCUGAUAUUGAAAUUCGGCACAGCUUGUACAGGAUAGGUAGGAGCCUUUGAAACGUGAGCGCUAGCUUACGUGGAGGCGCUGGUGGGAUACUACCCUAGCUGUGUUGGCUUUCUAACCCGCACCACUUAUCGUGGUGGGAGACAGUGUCAGGCGGGCAGUUUGACUGGGGCGGUCGCCUCCUAAAAGGUAACGGAGGCGCUCAAAGGUUCCCUCAGAAUGGUUGGAAAUCAUUCAUAGAGUGUAAAGGCAUAAGGGAGCUUGACUGCGAGACCUACAAGUCGAGCAGGGUCGAAAGACGGACUUAGUGAUCCGGUGGUUCCGCAUGGAAGGGCCAUCGCUCAACGGAUAAAAGCUACCCCGGGGAUAACAGGCUUAUCUCCCCCAAGAGUUCACAUCGACGGGGAGGUUUGGCACCUCGAUGUCGGCUCAUCGCAUCCUGGGGCUGUAGUCGGUCCCAAGGGUUGGGCUGUUCGCCCAUUAAAGCGGUACGCGAGCUGGGUUCAGAACGUCGUGAGACAGUUCGGUCCCUAUCCGUCGUGGGCGUAGGAAAUUUGAGAGGAGCUGUCCUUAGUACGAGAGGACCGGGAUGGACAUACCUCUGGUGUACCAGUUGUCGUGCCAACGGCAUAGCUGGGUAGCUAUGUGUGGACGGGAUAAGUGCUGAAAGCAUCUAAGCAUGAAGCCCCCCUCAAGAUGAGAUUUCCCAACUUCGGUUAUAAGAUCCCUCAAAGAUGAUGAGGUUAAUAGGUUCGAGGUGGAAGCAUGGUGACAUGUGGAGCUGACGAAUACUAAUCGAUCGAAGACUUAAUCAAAA